UACGGAGGGUGCUAGCGUUGUUCGGAAUUACUGGGCGUAAAGCGCGCGUAGGCGGACUGUUAAGUCGGGGGUGAAAUCCCGGGGCUCAACCCCGGCACUGCCUUCGAUACUGGCGGUCUAGAGGUCUGGAGAGGUGAGUGGAAUUCCGAGUGUAGAGGUGAAAUUCGUAGAUAUUCGGAGGAACACCAGUGGCGAAGGCGGCUCACUGGCCAUAUUCUGACGCUGAGGUGCGAAAGCGUGGGGAGCAAACAGG
rnacentral:rRNA from 1 species